rnacentral:rRNA from 1 species
AUUGAACGCUGGCGGCAGGCCUAACACAUGCAAGUCGAGCGAGCGGCGGACGGGUGCGUAAUGUAUGGGGACUGCCCGAUAGAGGGGGAUAACUACGGGAAACGGUAGCUAAUACCGCAUACUAUCGGAUAACCCAUAUGGGAUUAGCUAGUAGGUGAGGUAAUGGCUCACCUAGGCGACGAUCCCUAGCUGGUCUGAGAGGAUGAUCAGCCACGAGGGGACUGAGACACGGCCCAGACUCCUACGGAGGCAGCAGUGGGGAAUAUUGCAUAAUGGGCGCAAGCCGGAUGCAGCCAUGCCGCGUGUAUGAAGAAGGCCCUAGGGUUGUAAAGUACUUUCAGUCGUGAGGCGUUACCGACAGAAGAAGCACCGGCUAACUCCGUGCCAGCAGCCGCGGUAAUUC